rnacentral:lncRNA from 13 species
CCUUCCCGUCCCUUUGCUUUCCCUUCCCUCCCCUCCUUUUACUUUCCCUUCCCUUCUCUUCCCUUCCCUUCCUUGGAGCAUCCCAGAAAAUUAUUUUGGAAAAGCUUUCUUCCACUACAGCCACUUUUCUGGAUUAAAUAAUGGCAUUCAUGUCUUUUAUUAUAUUCAGAUGGCUAUGAACAGAAGAUUGACUUCUCAGUGAGCCUACGUUGUAUCUUUCUUCCCAUCGAGUCCAUUUAACUCAGAAUCACAGGUCUUGAUUGAGUUUUUCAGCAUGAUCUACAUGGUCAGCUCAGCUGGGUCUGACCAUCAUCAUCAGGCCAAGGAAGAGAAAAUGACAUGGAACUCUUUCCCAUGAACGAGACUCUUCUGCCACCUUUGGACUACCUUGAGAAGUAUGAAAACUUCUCAAGUUUUCAGCUUGAGAAGGGCUUGCAUCCUGAAGGAGAAAUGAACAAACAGUAUUAAUUGUGAUGAUGCAGCCUACAACAAGUGCUAUGAUAGAGACUGAAAAACAAGUGCUCGUUCAUUUUUACUGGAAAGGCAGAAGCUGGAUUCAGCCUGGAAAGGAAAAUCACUGAGAAGAUGGUAUGAACUAAACAAAUAAAUGGGAUUUUAACAAAUAGAGAAUACA